AUUGAACGCUGGCGGCAUGCCUUACACAUGCAAGUCGAACGGUAACGGGCCUUCGGGUGCCGACGAGUGGCGAACGGGUGAGUAAUGUAUCGGAACGUACCUUUCAGUGGGGGAUAACGUAGCGAAAGUUACGCUAAUACCGCAUAUUCUGUGAGCAGGAAAGCAGGGGAGCGGAAGACCUUGCGCUGAUUGAGCGGCCGAUAUCAGAUUAGCUAGUUGGUGAGGUAAAGGCUCACCAAGGCGACGAUCUGUAGCGGGUCUGAGAGGAUGAUCCGCCACACUGGAACUGAGACACGGUCCAGACUCCUACGGGAGGCAGCAGUGGGGAAUUUUGGACAAUGGGGGCAACCCUGAUCCAGCCAUGCCGCGCGAGUGAAGAAGGCCUUCGGGUUGUAAAGCUCUUUCGGCCGGGAAGAAAUCGUAUCAGCUAAUAUCUGGUGCGGAUGACGGUACCGGCAUAAGAAGCACCGGCUAACUACGUGCCAGCCGCCGCAGUAAAAC
rnacentral:rRNA from 1 species